rnacentral:tRNA from 1 species
UUCCCACUCCGGGAAUUGAACACUGGCCUCCUGGGUGAGAGCCAAGUAUCUUAACCUCUAGAUCAUGUGGGA